rnacentral:rRNA from 1 species
AGAGUUUGAUCAUGGCUCAGGACGAACGCUGGCGGCGUGCCUAACACAUGCAAGUCGAACGGAGAUAUUAAGGAAGCUUGCGAAUUAAUAUCUUAGUGGCGGACGGGUGAGUAACGCGUGGGUAAUCUGCCCAUAAGUGGGGAACAACAGUUGGAAACGACUGCUAAUACCGCAUAAUCUGCGCAAGCAGGAAAGGUGGCCUCUGAAUAUGCUGCCGCUUAUGGAUGAGCCCGCGUCUGAUUAGCUAGUUGGUGGGGUAAAGGCCUACCAAGGCGACGAUCAGUAGCCGGCCUGAGAGGGUGAACGGCCACACUGGGACUGAGACACGGCCCAGACUCCUACGGGAGGCAGCAGUGGGGAAUAUUGCGCAAUGGGGGAAACCCUGACGCAGCGACGCCGCGUGAGCGAUGAAGGCCUUAGGGUUGUAAAGCUCUGUUUUAGGGGACGAAUGUCUAGAUCAGUAAUAUGGGUUUAGAAUGACGGUACCCUAAGAGGAAGCCCCGGCUAACUACGUGCCAGCAGCCGCGGUAAGACGUAGGGGGCAAGCGUUGUCCGGAAUUACUGGGCGUAAAGAGCACGUAGGCGGGAACUUAAGUCAGGUGUGAAAGACCGAGGCUCAACCUCGGGGUGGCACUUGAAACUGGGUUUCUUGAGGGCAGGAGAGGGCAGUAGAAUUCCUGGUGUAGCGGUGAAAUGCGUAGAAAUCAGGAGGAAUACCAGUGGCGAAGGCGACUGCCUGGACUGACCCUGACGCUGAGGUGCGAAAGCGUGGGUAGCAAACAGGAUUAGAUACCCUGGUAGUCCACGCCGUAAACGAUGGAUACUAGGU